CUGUCAAUGAAUCCUCGUCAGUCAUUAUAGUUAUCCUUACAGUAAAAGGGAGCGAUUCAAUCAGAGAUGAGCAACAGUGUGUGUGUGUGUGUGUGUGUGUGUGUGUGUGUGUGUGUGUGUGUGUGUGUGUGUCAACGCACGCGCACGCUCUGCACCGUCCAUAUUGCGCGCGCGCGCGUGGGUAAAUAGGCACUGAGGAGAACAGGGUCCGUCCUUUAACGGUAAAAACCCGAGCGGGGUUAACAACGGAAGAAGGAGACAGAAGUGGGAUGGAGUGAUGCUGACCAGCAAGAGGACCCGGAGAGAAACAACGGGACCGCGGUGACCACAGAGAAGCAGAAAGACCGUGUUGAAGACUUGGAUGUCUCAUGGUAGAGUGGGAUAUGCAAAAUUGGUCAUAUUUGAGGCCCUCUUUCUCCUCACUUUCUGACCAGUUCUUCCAUGGGCAAACAAGUAUGAAAGGUUUUGUUUAAAUCAGAAGGGGUGAAGUCAGAAGUGACUUCAUUCAUAGAGAACAACCCUGAACCCAAACAGCAGAAGAAGCAGCCUGUUGUAUCAGAUCUCCCUUGGACAUUUUUUUAUGAGACAAAAUAGAGACGAUGGUUGGCCUGAGAAACCGGUCCACGUGGGCCCCGCUUCUCCUCAAGGCCUCCUGCAUCAAGUCCUGUGCCAACGGCUGCUCCCUGGGCAUCACCGCACAUCUCACCUACGCCAACACAGACAUCGAACCUGUGGAGGGUGAGGUCACACACUGAUGUCAUGGGGGGAGGGGGGAUUUUGGGCCUUAGCAAUCGGUUAGUCACAUAUCAAGCCACAACAUCUCAAGCCAGAUCUAGUCUUGGUCUUGUCUUUCNNNNNNNNNNAUUAAAAUUUAA
rnacentral:lncRNA from 13 species